GAUGAACGCUGGCGGCGUGCCUAAUACAUGCAAGUCGAGCGAACAGACGAGGAGCUUGCUCCUCUGACGUUAGCGGCGGACGGGUGAGUAACACGUGUAUAACCUACCUAUAAGACUGGGAUAACUUCGGGAAACGGGGGCUAAUACGGGAUAAUAUAUUGAACCGCAUGGUGCAAUAGUGAAAGACGGUUUUGCUGUCACUUAUAGAUGGAUCUGCGCCGCAUUAGCUAGUUGGUAAGGUAACGGCUUACCACGGCAACGAUGCGUAGCCGACCUGAGAGGGUGAUCGGCCACACUGGAACUGAGACACGGUCCAGACUCCUACGGUAGGCAGCAGUAGGGAACCUUCCGCAGUGGGCGAGAGCCUGACGGAGCAACGCCGAGUGAGUGACGAAGGUCUUCGGAUCGUAAAACUCUGUUAUGAGGGAAGAACAAAUGUGGAAGUAACUAUGCAGGGCUUGACGGUACCUAAUCAGAAAGCCACGGCUAACUACGUG
rnacentral:rRNA from 1 species